AGGAGACCAAGGCUUAAAGCUGGGUUCUGUUAUUUGCUGUUAAUAGCUAUGGGAGCGUGGACAGUAUUAAUUCAGCUCUUUGUGCCAGGCAGGAAGCUAAAUGUUUUAAGGGCAUCGUCUUACUUUCUAUUGAAGGACUGAUGGAUGUGCCAUCCCAAAAAUAUAUGGAAUUGGUACAUUGAUUAUUUCGAGUUGAAAAUAUUGGAGAAAUUGUAGUUUCAGAAAAGGUUUGAUGACCUAUCUCUUCCUGCAUGCAGCAAGCCAUAAAGCUUCCUCCAGGAUUCCUCUGGAGUACCCGUCCCUUACCAGAGGGAGAAAAUAGCACCUAUCACCAGAGACGAAACUGGGGGCUGCUUUGGACCUGAAUAUACUUUCCGAAUCAGUCCUGUAUACAGCACUAAAGCUGAUGAAUGAUCUAUCUUACACUAGCCAAAGUGAAGUCUGAAAGAUGUGAAGAAAUGCAGUACAUUUGUACAUUGGCACAUUGCCCUGCAGAGGACUGGCAACACUCCAGAAAUGAUGGAGACAGGAUACAUCAACCUGUAUCACUGAAGAUGAUGUGGAGCAGAGCCUUUGUGGUCCUAAGAAACAUGUAUAAGAUAAAAACUUUUGUGGUUUUUCAA
rnacentral:lncRNA from 1 species